GCCGUAGGGAGCAAGCGUUGUCCGGAUUUACUGGGCGUAAAGAGCGCGUAGGCGGUCUGUUAAGUGUAGAGUGAAAUCUCCAGGGCUCAACCCGGAAACUGCUCUGCAUACUGGCAGACUUGAGGGACUGAGAGGUGAAUGGAAUUCCUGGUGUAGCGGUGAAAUGCGUAGAUAUCAGGAGGAACACCCAUGGCGAAGGCAGUUCACUGGCAGUCUCCUGACGCUGAGGCGCGAAAGCGUGGGUAGCAAACAGG
rnacentral:rRNA from 1 species